UACGUAGGGUGCGAGCGUUAAUCGGAAUUACUGGGCGUAAAGCGUGCGCAGGCGGUUCGUUGUGUCGGCGGUGAAAGCCCCGGGCUUAACCUGGGAACGGCCGUUGAGACUGGCGAACUGGAGUGUGGCAGAGGGGGGUGGAAUUCCGCGUGUAGCAGUGAAAUGCGUAGAUAUCAGGAGGAACACCUGUGGUGUAGACGGCUCUCUGGACCGCAACUGACGCUGAGACACGAAAGCGUGGGUAGCAAACAGG
rnacentral:rRNA from 1 species